rnacentral:rRNA from 1 species
CCUACGGGGGGCAGCAGUGGGGAAUAUUGCACAAUGGGCGCAAGCCUGAUGCAGCCAUGCCGCGUGUAUGAAGAAGGCCUUCGGGUUGUAAAGUACUUUCAGCGGGGAGGAAGGGGAUAAGGUUAAUAACCUUGUCGAUUGACGUUACCCGCAGAAGAAGCACCGGCUAACUCCGUGCCAGCAGCCGCGGUAAUACGGAGGGUGCAAGCGUUAAUCGGAAUUACUGGGCGUAAAGCGCACGCAGGCGGUCUGUCAAGUCGGAUGUGAAAUCCCCGGGCUCAACCUGGGAACUGCAUUCGAAACUGGCAGGCUAGAGUCUUGUAGAGGGGGGUAGAAUUCCAGGUGUAGCGGUGAAAUGCGUAGAGAUCUGGAGGAAUACCGGUGGCGAAGGCGGCCCCCUGGACCAAGACUGACGCUCAGGUGCGAAAGCGUGGG